rnacentral:rRNA from 1 species
CACGUAGGGUGCGAGCGUUGUCCGGAAUUAUUGGGCGUAAAGAGCUCGUAGGCGGUUUGUCGCGUCGGCCGUGAAAUCUCCACGCUUAACGUGGAGCGUGCGGUCGAUACGGGCAGACUUGAGUUCGGUAGGGGAGACUGGAAUUCCUGGUGUAGCGGUGAAAUGCGCAGAUAUCAGGAGGAACACCGGUGGCGAAGGCGGGUCUCUGGGCCGAUACUGACGCUGAGGAGCGAAAGCGUGGGGAGCGAACAGG